AACGAACGCUGGCGGCAUGCCUAACACAUGCAAGUCGAACGAGAUCUUCGGGUCUAGUGGCGCACGGGUGCGUAACGCGUGGGAAUCUGCCCUUUGCUUCGGAAUAACAGUUAGAAAUGACUGCUAAUACCGGAUGAUGUCUUCGGACCAAAGAUUUAUCGGCAAAGGAUGAGCCCGCGUAGGAUUAGGUAGUUGGUGGGGUAAAGGCCUACCAAGCCGACGAUCCUUAGCUGGUCUGAGAGGAUGAUCAGCCACACUGGGACUGAGACACGGCCCAGACUCCUACGGGAGGCAGCAGUGGGGAAUAUUGGACAAUGGGCGAAAGCCUGAUCCAGCAAUGCCGCGUGAGUGAUGAAGGCCUACGGGUCGUAAAGCUCUUUUACCAGGGAUGAUAAUGACAGUACCUGGAGAAUAAGCUCCGGCUAACUCCGUGCCAGCAGCCGCGGUAAU
rnacentral:rRNA from 1 species